GAUGAACGCUGGCGGCGUGCCUAAUACAUGCAAGUCGAGCGAACAGACGAGGAGCUUGCUCCUCUGACGUUAGCGGCGGACGGGUGAGUAACACGUGGAUAACCUACCUAUAAGACUGGGAUAACUUCGGGAAACCGGAGCUAAUACCGGAUAAUAUAUUGAACCGCAUGGUUCAAUAGUGAAAGACGGUUUUGCUGUCACUUAUAGAUGGAUCCGCGCCGCAUUAGCUAGUUGGUAAGGUAACGGCUUACCAAGGCAACGAUGCGUAGCCGACCUGAGAGGGGGAUCGGCAACACUGGAACUGAGACACGGUCCAGACACCUACGGGAGGCAGCAGUAGGGAAUCUUCCGCAAUGGGCGAAAGCCUGACGGAGCAACGCCGCGUGAGUGAUGAAGGUCUUCGGAUCGUAAAACUCUGUUAUUAGGGAAGAACAAAUGUGUAAGUAACUAUGCACGUCUUGACGGUACCUAAUCAGAAAGCCACGGCUAACUACGUG
rnacentral:rRNA from 1 species